CUCCCCAGGCUAUCCCUCCCCACCUCCCCCUCCCACUGGCCCUCCCCUUUUCCCCCCAAUAGACCCCAGUGUUUAGUACUCCCCUUUCUGUGUCCAUGUGUUCUCAUUUUUCAUCACCCGCCUAUGAGUGAGAAUAUGCGGUGUUUCAUUUUCUGUUCUUGUGUCAGUUUGCUGAGAAUGAUGUUCUCCAGUUUCAUCCAUGUCCCUACAAACGAUACAAACUCAUCAUUUUUGAUUGCUGCAUAAUAUUCCAUGGUGUAUAUGUGCCACAUUUUCCCAAUGCAGUCUAUCAUCAUUGGACAUUUGGGUUGAUUCCAGGUCUUUGCUAUUGUAAACAGUGCUGCAAUGAACAUUCGUGUGCAUGUGUCCUUAUAGUAGAACGAUUUAUAGUCCUUUGGAUAUAUACCCAGUAAUGGGAUUGCUGGGUCAAAUGGAAUUUCUAUUUCUAAGGCCUUGAGGAAUCGCCACACUGUCUUCCACAAUGGUUGGAGUAAUUUACACUCCCACCAACAGUGUAAAAGUGUUCCUUUUUCUCCACAUCCUCUCCAGCAUCUGUUGUGUCCAGAUUUUUUUAAUGAUCGCCAUUCUAACUGGCGUGAGAUGGUAUCUCAAUAUGGUUUUGAUUUGCAUCUCUCUGAUGACGAGUGACGAUGAGCAUUUUUUCAUGUGAUUGUUGGCCUCAUAUAUGUCUUCUUUUGUAAAGUGUCUGUUCAUAUCCUUUGCCCAAUUUUGAAUGGGCUUGUUUGUUUUUUUCCUGUAAAUCUGUUUGAGUUCUUUGUAAAUUCUGGAUAUCAGCCCUUUGUCAGAUGGGUAAACUGCAAAAAUUUUUUCCCAUUCUGUUGGUUGCCGAUUCACUCUAGUGACUGUUUCUUUUGCCAUGCAGAAGCUAUGGAGUUUCAUUAGGUCCCAUUUGUCUAUUUUGGCUUUUGGUGCCAAUGCUUUUGGUGUUUUGUUCAUGAAGUCCUUGCCUACUCCUAUGUCCUGGAUGGUUUUACCUAGAUUUCCUUCUAGGGUUUUUAUGGUGCUUCGUUAACUGGAAUGCCACAGGAGUGGUCUGUGUAUACAUGUGUGUUUUUACAUAAAUAUUUUCAUGUACAUACACACAGACUCAGUGGAUAAUUCUGAUAGGGCAUUUGCUACUGAACGUUAACUUCACUCAGGCUCAGAGGGCCAAAUUAGGACAGAAAGUUUACCUAUUGGGCAUAUGAAUAUUACAAAGGGUGGUGGUUCUAAAAGAUAAUUCCCUAAACUUGGUAUACUUGGAUGCAUUAAACGUACAUACUUCUUGAUGCUGCAUCUGUAAUUAGACACAAUGAUGCAGACAAUUCUGAUUUUAGUUUUUUUCCUUUUCAGCCUUUAUGCAGUAUACGCCCAUAUUACAGUGUAAUUGGAGAAGUCAUAGCUUCCUUUUGUAUUAGUUACUUUCCAGUCCUGUUUUUGACCAGUAGUCUUCGUCAGGGGAUUCAGGAAAUACUUUGACCUGAAUAGCCCUUCCUAUUAUUUUAGGAACCUAAAAAAGGGUUUGGUUGUUUUUUUGGUUUUUUUUUUUUUUUUUUUGCUAGUAAACAUAUUAUUGGGCCUGCCAAAAGGCAUGUGUACUUAAUAAAAUGUUUUUCAAUGUGUAACUAACACAUAUGGUAUUGAGUAAGAUGGAAUAUUGGCUAAACAGAAGCAAACCCUUUGUAAAUUAAUGAGACUAAGUUUUCAAUGUAAUUCUGGUUAAAGGAGUGUCAUUACGAUCCCACAGCCUUCUUAUAAGCAAAUCCCCUUGAAAAAAUGGCUGGAAGUAGACCCUUGCUAGGAAACAGUCGCUAUAUGUUCAUCAGAAUUAAGAGUAGUUAUCUUUAUUGACAUUUCUACAUCAAUAUGGAUAUGGAGAAUUCACAAUAAGAGUAAACAAUGGAUAAUGAGUCUAUAAGUGUCCCGGGUACCAGAUUCAGAUUUGGUUGUAACCAAAUCUGUAAUUCUACUUUCCCAAGAUAUUUACAUUUGUCUUAUCUUCCUCAGGUGUGCUCCUCUUUUGCUACGGGUCCCAGACAAUACAACGGAACAUUCUAUGAAUUUUGCACUUACUACCUUAAACCUUCAAAAAUGAAUGCAUUCGUGGAAAAUAUUAAGGAAAACAUUCAUGUUCGGACAGCUCACUCUGAAUUGGUUGGAUUCUGAUAAUUUUGCUCAUUGAGCUGAAGUUUGAAAAGCCUUGGCCAACUGUAAGGAAUGGCAAGAACAAUCUCUCAUUCCAAAUUUGGCUCAUGUUGAUAAACAAGAGUCUGAAAUUACUUACCUGAUACCAUGGUCCAAAUUAGAAAAGCCUCCAAAAGAAGGAGUCUGUGAACUAGCUGUUUUUCAAAUGAAUCCUGGUGGGCCUGCUCUGUGGGGUGAUGCAUUUAAAAGAGCAAUUAAUGCCCAUGUCAAUCUAGGCUACACAAAAGUGGUUGGUAUUUUUCACACAGAAUAUGGAGAACUCAGCAGAGGUACAGUUGUCCAUUUGCUUUAUGAAGUAUUAGUUUAUAUCUCUUUUUCAUUAUGGUGCCUAUUUUAAUUUUUAUGUCCAAAUUUUUAGAGUGUGUUGUCUAUAGGAUUGGAAAAACCUGGUUUACAUCUUAUUUUUUUAGAAUGCUAAUA